UAUUGGACAAUGGGCGAAAGCCUGAUCCAGCAAUGCCGCGUGAGUGAUGAAGGCCUUAGGGUUGUAAAGCUCUUUUACCCGGGAUGAUAAUGACAGUACCGGGAGAAUAAGCUCCGGCUAACUCCGUGCCAGCAGCCGCGGUAAUACGGAGGGAGCUAGCGUUGUUCGGAAUUACUGGGCGUAAAGCGCACGUAGGCGGCUUUGUAAGUUAGAGGUGAAAGCCUGGAGCUCAACUCCAGAAUUGCCUUUGAUACUGCAUCGCUUGAAUCCAGGAGUGGUGAGUGGAAUUCCGAGUGUAGAGGUGAAAUUCGUAGAUAUUCGGAAGAACACCAGUGGCGAAGGCGGCUCACUGGACUGGUAUUGACGCUGAGGUGCGAAG
rnacentral:rRNA from 1 species